rnacentral:rRNA from 1 species
GAUGAACGCUGGCGGCGUGCUUAACACAUGCAAGUCGAACGGGAAAUACUUCAUUGAGACUUCGGUGGAUUUGAUUUAUUUCUAGUGGCGGACGGGUGAGUAACGCGUGGGUAACCUGCCUUAUACAGGGGGAUAACAGUCAGAAAUGGCUGCUAAUACCGCAUAAGCGCACAGAGCUGCAUGGCUCAGUGUGAAAAACUCCGGUGGUAUAAGAUGGACCCGCGUUGGAUUAGCUGGUUGGUGGGGUAACGGCCCACCAAGGCGACGAUCCAUAGCCGGCCUGAGAGGGUGAACGGCCACAUUGGGACUGAGACACGGCCCAGACUCCUACGGGAGGCAGCAGUGGGGAAUAUUGCACAAUGGGGGAAACCCUGAUGCAGCGACGCCGCGUGAAGGAAGAAGUAUCUCGGUAUGUAAACUUCUAUCAGCAGGGAAGAUAGUGACGGUACCUGACUAAGAAGCCCCGGCUAACUACGUGCCAGCAGCCGCGGUAAUACGUAGGGGGCAAGCGUUAUCCGGAUUUACUGGGUGUAAAGGGAGCGUAGACGGUGUGGCAAGUCUGAUGUGAAAGGCAUGGGCUCAACCUGUGGACUGCAUUGGAAACUGUCAUACUUGAGUGCCGGAGGGGUAAGCGGAAUUCCUAGUGUAGCGGUGAAACGCGUAGAUAUUAGGAGGAACACCAGUGGCGAAGGCGGCUUACUGGACGGUAACUGACGUUGAGGCUCGAAAGCGUGGGGAGCAAACAAAAUUAGAUACCCUGGUAGUCCACGCCGUAAACGA